rnacentral:rRNA from 1 species
UAAAAAGCUCGUAGUUGGAUUUCUGUUGUGGGCAGCCGGUCCACACUAUGUGUGAGUAUCUGGUUUGACCACGGCAUCCUCCUGAUGAACGUAGUGUGCUUUGCUGCAUGGUACGGCUCUCAGGACUUUUACUUUGAGGAAAUUAGAGUGUUCACGGCAGGCGAUCGCCUUGAAUAUAUUAGCAUGGAAUAAUGAUCUAGGCGACCGAGUCUAUUUUGUUGGUUUCUAGACUCAGUCGAAUGGUUAAUAGGGACAGUUGGGGGCAUUCGUAUUAUGACGUCAGAGGUGGAAUUCUUGGAUUGUCAUACGACGAACUACUGCGAAAGCAUUUGCCAAGGAUGUUUUCAUUGAUCAAGAACGAAAGUAAGGGGAUCGAAGACGAUUAGAUACCGUCGUAGUCUUUACCAUAAACUAUGCCAGCUAGAGAUUGGAGGUCGUUCUUUGUAUGACUCCUUCAGCACCUUAUGAGAAAUCAAAGCUUUUGGGUUCCGGGGGGAGUAUGGUCGCAAGUCUGGAACUUAAAGGAAUUGACGGAAGGGCACCACCAGGAGUGGAGCCUGCGGCUUAAUUUGACUCAACACGGGAAAACUCACCA